ACGCUCGACACCUACGGAGGCAGCAGUGAGGAAUAUUGGUCAAUGGGCGCUAGCCUGAACCAGCCAAGUAGCGUGAAGGAUGAAGGCUCUAUGGGUCGUAAACUUCUUUUAUAUAAGAAUAAAGUGCAGUAUGUAUACUGUUUUGUAUGUAUUAUAUGAAUAAGGAUCGGCUAACUCCGUGCCAGCAGCCGCGGUAAUCUGAGCGGGCUGGCAAGGC
rnacentral:rRNA from 1 species